rnacentral:lncRNA from 1 species
CUACCCCGUGGCAUACAGAAUCCCUAGGCUAGGGAUCAUAUCUGAGCCCCACCUGCAACAACUCUGGAUCCUUAACCCAUUGUGCCAGACUGGGGGUUGAACCUGUGUUUCAGAGCUUGUUCCUGCGCCACAGCAGGAAUUCCCCUGUUAAACUUGGAAUUGCUAAAUCCAAGGGCCAGUCUCAGCCAUCAUCAUCUGACUUCCUAUCGGUAUGUGACACAGCUGAUCAGUCUCUUCUCUUUGAAAUACCUUCUUCUUGUAAGGUCCUCUAGCACUGGCUUUUGCUAUUUCUUCAUCUCCCUCACACUUUAACUUUGGAGCCCUUCCAGGUUGUCUGUCUACAAUCACUCACCUGUGGGCUUAGGCAGUCUCUGUGUUUCAAAUACCACCCGCAGAUUGAAAACCCUCUCAUUUAAUCUCCAACCUGGAUCUCUCUCCUGAACUCAAGGUCAUAUCUCACAUUCUAUCUGCAUUUUCGUUUAGGUAACUAAGAGUUGUCUUAGUGUGGUAAGUGUGUCCACAACAGAGCUGCUGGUUUCCCUUCCAAACCCCUGCCCUCAGCCUUCCCCGCUCAGUUACAGUGACUCCAUCCUCUCACUUUCCUCCAAGUACUGUGGAGCCAUCUCUGAAGUCUCUCUUCGUCUCACGCCCCGUAAACCUUGUUGAAAACAGAUCCAGAACCCGACCCCUGCUUACCAAUUCCACUGCUGAGGUCCUGAUCCAAGCCAACACCAUCUGUCACUUGGAUUCUUACACUCAUCUCUUAACUGUGCUUCCUGUUUCCACUCUUCUCCUAAUACAAACUCAAAAGCCAGACGAAAUUUUCAGUGUCAGCAAAUGAACCCUUCACUUGAAGCCCUCUUUUCUUUCCUUUUCUUUUCUUUUUUUUUUUUUUUUUGUCUUUUCUAGGGCCACUCCCACGGCAUGUGGAGGUUCCCAGGUGUGACCCUAAAAAGACAAAAAAAAAAAAAAAAAUACUCUGUCCACUCUCCUCCUUUCUUUUUCUCAACAGAAUUUAUCAUCAGCUGAUGGACUUUAUAUUUUAUGUAUUUAUUUUAUUUACUGUCUGUUUUCUUCCCACUAGACUGUAAGCUCUUAGGGCAGGGAUUUUUGUAUUUUUCAUUGUUUAUUCUCUGGCACAUAAUAGGUACUGAGUAACUUAAAUGGUUUGAACGAUUUCCAGUCACUGUAAUAAACAUUUGAGUGCUUGUAACAUACUGUAGAAAAUUAUGACAAUGAACAUAAUCCUAGCCUUAUCCUUCAGGAGCUCACUAGCUAAUAAAUACAGAAAAUAAACAUAAAUAAAUAUAAAGGAUGUACACAAAAUAUAAACAUAAAAUAAUAUGUAAAUAGCUAUAAACAUAAAAUAAGGCACAAUACACAUAAAAUGCAAUGGGAGAAUAGGGAAAGGAGUAAUUCAUUCUAAUCUAAUAAUUUAAUAUAUACUAAAGGUGUUUAGCAAUAAUAUUUUCAAUAGGGAGUUCCUCCCAUGGCACAGUGGAUUAAGAAUCCAACUUCAGUGGCUCAGGUCGCUGCAGAGGCAAGGGUUUGAUCCCUGGCUCAGUGCAGCAGGUUAAAGGAUCUGGCAUUGCCACAGCUGCAGUGUAGGUCACAGCUGUGGCUCAAUUCAAUCCCUGGCCCAGGAACUUCCAUAUACUGUGAGUGCAGCCAUAAAAAAAUUAUAUUAAAAAAUACAUAUUUUCUAUAGAGCAAAUAUUCUUCGAUAAAGAUUUUUAAAUUUUAUUUUAUUUACUUAUUAAUUUUGGCCACACUCAUGGUGUCGGUCACGGCAUGUGGAAGUUCCCACGCCAGCAAGUGAACCAAGCCACACAGCAGUGACAAAGCCGAAUCCUUAACUGCUAGGCCACCAGGGAACUCCCAAGAUUUUUAAAGAAUUACUUUAGAAUGUGGAAAUUGUGACAUUCUAUUUUUUAUUCUUAUGUCCUGUAGCAAUACAAUAUAUACAAAUAUCGAAUCAUUUUGUUGUGCACCUGAAACUCAUAUAAUGUUAUAUGUCAAUUAUACUUCAAUUAAAAAAGGAAGGGGAGUUCCCGUCGUGGCGCAGUGGUUGACAAAUCCGACUGGGAACCAUCAGGUUUCGGGUUUGAUCCCUGGGCUUGCUCAGUGGGUUAAGGAUCCGGCGUUGUCGUGAGCUGUGGUGUAGGUCGCAGAUGUGGCUCAGAUCCCGAGUUGCUGUGGCUCUGGUGUAGGCCGGUGGCUACAGCUCCGAUUGGACCCCUAGCCUGGGAACCUCCAUAUGC